UCAGUUGAUGGUAGUUUUUUGAGUUGUCUAAGCUGUCUGGGCAGAUGUGUGUUGGCAUUUAGAGAAGUGGAGGUGUCUGUUUGAGGUGCCUUGUGUUUUUCUGGAAUUCCUGACUCUAUUGAAGAUGGAACCUUGUUUUCUUCCCUGGUUUUGCUGUAUACUGUGUGAGCUGCUGAUAUUCUCUCUCUUAACAGGACUGAUGGUGAGAUCAUCUAGCAGGGCUUAGGUCUUCCCCACAGCUGACGGGAGGUACAACAGAGUCACAAGAGACGCGGCGUAAACAGCCUGGGCCUCCGCAUCUCAGUAUGCGGGGCUCAAUGUCAGAUGAGUCUCAUCUCGUAAGGCAUUAGCAGUGAUCCAGGAUGUGUCGGCAUAUCCGCUGUCGAGCGGUCUGUUUUUGGGGAACCCUUUUCUGGGACUACUUCUCAUUCAAAGAACUUGCAUUUUUAUUAACUUCUCAUCAGAGUGGAUCUUCAGCGAUGAUGUACUUGGCAGUAGAAGUCACCAGCAGCAAGAUUUUUCACUCUUUAAAAAAAAAAAAAGAGAAAAUUUACUUCCUUCCAGAGACCCAAGCACAACAUGUCUUCCAAAAGUCAAUGGCAUUGCUGGUCUUUGGGUUCUCAGUUGUAACAGUUGAGAUAUCAUAAAAACAUGUUCCUUUCCAUGCUUCAGUACAGCCAAGAGCAUUAAAAUCUGCCAGUCCUUUUUGGUAGCCUUAUGUAUUGCAGCACUGGGGAUUUGAUUUUUUUUUUUUCUUUUUCAGAAGAUUCCUUA